AUGCUAGAUCUAUUUUAUUUUGUUAAGGAGAAAGGGAUGCCUUGAUUGUCGUAUUGAUUUUCUUCUUCUUUUUGUUCCAAAAGAUUGAAACUGAAGAGCUGGAAGGAGGACAUUACAACAUCUCUUAUAUUUGCAAGAUGAAGCAGAAAGUCCCAUGCAGGAUGAUGCCUCUCUACAGUGGAUGAUAAAGGCAUUCUGGUUUGCAAACUCAGGAGAGGAACAAAGAACAGAUGUUGACGGGAUCAUAUCUAGAGAUGCGGGCCUACUACACUUCAUACGAGCAAGUGUGCUAAUAUACAUGAAGACUUGGGUUAUAUUUUUUUCUGAAAACUAGGCUACAACUUUAGUGAUGGAUGCAGAAGAUAUCUACACGAGACUACGUCUUAAAGAUGCCACCCUCAUAUAAUGAAAAAGCACA